rnacentral:rRNA from 1 species
GACAGAGGGUGCAAACGUUGUUCGGAGUUACUGGGCGUAAAGGGUGUGUAGGCGGUUGUUUAAGUUUGGUGUGAAAUCUCCCGGCUCAACUGGGAGGGUGCGCCGAAUACUGAAUGACUUGGAGUGCGGGAGAGGUGAGUGGAAUUCCUGGUGUAGCGGUGAAAUGCGUAGAUAUCAGGAGGAACACCGGUGGUGUAGACGGCUCACUGGACCGUAACUGACGCUGAGACACGAAAGCGUGGGUAGCAAACAGG